AUCCGCUUAUUGCGCGGCGAAAAACCUUACACACAGUGUUUUUUGUUAUUACAAGAACUUUUGCUUUGGUCUGGACUAGAAAUAGUUUGGGCCAGAGGUUUACUGAACUAAACUUCAAUAUUUAUAUUGAAUUGUUAUUUAUUUAAUUGUCAAUUUGUUGAUUAAAUUCAAAAAAUCUUCAAAACUUUCAACAACGGAUCUCUUGGUUCUCGCAUCGAUGAAGAACGCAGCGAAAUGCGAUAAGUAAUAUGAAUUGCAGAUUUUCGUGAAUCAUCGAAUCUUUGAACGCACAUUGCGCCCUCUGGUAUUCCAGAGGGCAUGCCUGUUUGAGCGUCAUUUCUCUCUCAAACCUUCGGGUUUGGUAUUGAGUGAUACUCUUAGUUGAACUAGGCGUUUGCUUGAAAUGUAUUGGCAUGAGUGGUACUGGAUAGUGCUAUAUGACUUUCAAUGUAUUAGGUUUAUCCAACUCGUUGAAUAGUUUAAUGGUAUAUUUCUCGGUAUUCUAGGCUCGGCCUUACAAUAUAACAAACAAGU
rnacentral:sRNA from 1 species